AUUGGACGCUGGCGGCAUGCUUUACACAUGCAAGUCGAACGGUAACAGGGAGCUUGCUCCGCUGACGAGUGGCGAACGGGUGAGUAAUGUAUCGGAACGUACCCAAGAGUGGGGGAUAACGUGGCGAAAGUUACGCUAAUACCGCAUACGAUCUAUGGAUGCAAGUGGGGGACCUUCGGGCCUCAUGCUCCUGGACCGGCCGAUAUCUGAUUAGCUAGUUAGUGAGGUAAAGGCUCACCAAGGCGACGAUCAGUAGCUGGUCUGAGAGGACGACCAGCCACACUGGGACUGAGACACGGCCCAGACUCCUACGGGAGGCAGCAGUGGGGAAUUUUGGACAAUGGGGGCAACCCUGAUCCAGCAAUGCCGCGUGAGUGAAGAAGGCCUUCGGGUUGUAAAGCUCUUUUGUCAGGGAAGAAACGGUGCGGGCUAAUAUCCCGUGCUAAUGACGGUACCUGAAGAAUAAGCACCGGCUAACCACGUGCCAGCCGCCGCCGUAA
rnacentral:rRNA from 1 species